rnacentral:rRNA from 1 species
GACGAACGCUGGCGGCGUGCUUAACACAUGCAAGUCGAACGGUGAAGCGCCUUCCUUUUUGGUGGGUGUGGAUGAGUGGCGAACGGGUGAGUAACACGUGAGUAACCUGCCCCCUUCUUCUGGAUAACCGCAUGAAAGUGUGGCUAAUACGGGAUAUUCUGGGUCUGUCGCAUGAUGGGUCUGGGAAAGAUAUUGUUUCGGUGGGGGAUGGGCUCGCGGCCUAUCAGCUUGUUGGUGGGGUGAUGGCCUACCAAGGCGGUGACGGGUAGCCGGCCUGAGAGGGUGGACGGUCACACAGGGACUGAGACACGGCCCAGACUCCUACGGGAGGCAGCAGUGGGGAAUAUUGCACAAUGGGCGCAAGCCUGAUGCAGCGACGCCGCGUGAGGGAUGGAGGCCUUCGGGUUGUGAACCUCUUUCGCCAGUGAAGCAGGCCUGCCUCGUUUGUGGGUGGGUUGACGGUAGCUGGAGAAGAAGCGCCGGCUAACUACGUG